rnacentral:rRNA from 1 species
AGCAGCCGCGGUAAUUCCAGCUCCAAUAGCGUAUAUUAAAGUUGUUGCAGUUAAAAGCUCGUAGUUGAAUUUCGGGAUCAAUACGUCGGUCGUGCUUCGGUACGUACUGGCGUAAUUGAUUUCUCCCUUCUGACGAACCAUGAUGUCAUUAACUUGGUGUCAUGGGAAAUCAGGACUGUUACUUUGAAAAAAUUAGAGUGUUUAAAGCAGGCUCACGCUUGAAUACAUUAGCAUGGAAUAAUGAAAUAGGACGUUCGAUCCUAUUUUGUUGGUUUUUAGGAUCAACGUAAUGAUUAAUAGGGAUAGUUGGGGGCAUUAGUAUUCAAUUGUCAGAGGUGAAAUUCUUGGAUUUAUUGAAGACUAACUACUGCGAAAGCAUUUGCCAAGGAUGUUUUCAUUAAUCAAGAACGAAAGUUAGGGGAUCGAAGACGAUCAGAUACCGUCGUAGUCUUAACCAUAAACUAUGCCGACUAGGGACGGAUGAUGUUAAUUUUUUAAUGACUCAUUCGGCGCCUUACGG